rnacentral:rRNA from 1 species
UAGGGAAUCUUCCACAAUGGACGCAAGUCUGAUGGAGCAACGCCGCGUGAGUGAAGAAGGUCUUCGGAUCGUAAAACUCUGUUGUUAGAGAAGAACACGAGUGAGAGUAACUGUUCAUUCGAUGACGGUAUCUAACCAGCAAGUCACGGCUAACUACGUGCCAGCAGCCGCGGUAAUACGUAGGUGGCAAGCGUUGUCCGGAUUUAUUGGGCGUAAAGGGAACGCAGGCGGUCUUUUAAGUCUGAUGUGAAAGCCUUCGGCUUAACCGGAGUAGUGCAUUGGAAACUGGAAGACUUGAGUGCAGAAGAGGAGAGUGGAACUCCAUGUGUAGCGGUGAAAUGCGUAGAUAUAUGGAAGAACACCAGUGGCGAAAGCGGCUCUCUGGUCUGUAACUGACGCUGAGGUUCGAAAGCGUGGGUAGCGAACAGGAUUAGAUACCCUGGUAGUCCAUGCCGUAAACGAUGAGUGCUAGGUGUUGGAGGGUUUCCGCCCUUCAGUGCCGGAGCUAACGCAUUAAGCACUCCGCCUGGGGAGUACGACCGCAAGGUU